rnacentral:sRNA from 1 species
UGGGGUAAGCCUACCACCACACUGAAC